AGACUAAGUGAUCUGUCGAAGCUGUGGGAUGUAAAAAUACAUCGGUAGGGGAGCGUUCCGCCUCAGAGGGAAGCACCAGUGCGAGCAGGUGUGGACGAAGUGGAAGAGAGAAUGUCGGCUUGAGUAACGUAAACAUUGGUGAGAAUCCAAUGCCCUGAAAACCUAAGGUUUCCUCCGCAAGGUUCAUCCACGGAGGGUGAGUCAGGGCCUAAUAUCAGGCCGAAAGGUGUAUUCGAUGGAAAACAGGUUAAUAUUCCUGCACUACCCCUUGUUGGUCCCAAGGGACGGAGGAGGCUAGGUUAGCCGAAAGAUGGUUAUCGGUUCAAGGAUGCAAGGUGACCCUACUUUUUUCAGGGUAAGAAGGGGUAGAGAAAAUGCCUCGAGCCAAUGUCCGAGUACCAAGCACUACAGCGCUGAAGUAACCCAUGCCAUACUCCCAGGAAAAGCUCGAAUGACCUUUAACAAAUGGGUACCUGUACCCGAAACCGACACAAGUAGGUAGGUAGAGAAUGCCUAGGGGCACGAGACAACUCUCUCUAAGGAACUCGGCAAAAUAGCCCCGUAACUUCGAGAGAAGGGGUGCCUCCUUAGGAGGUCGCAGUGACCAGGCUCGGGAGACUGUUUACCAAAAACACAGGUCUCCACAAAGUCAUAAGACCAUGUAUGGGGGAUGAUGCCUGCCCAGUGCCAGAAGGUUAAGGAAGUUGGUGACCUGAUGAUGGGGAAGCUAGCGAUCGAAGCCCUGGUGAAUGGCGGCCGUAACUAUAACGGUCCUAAGGUAGAGAAAUUCCUUUUCGGGUAAUUUUCGACCCGCACGAAAGGUGUAACGAUCUGGGCACUGUCUCAGAGAGAGACUCGGUGAAAUGGACAUGUCUGUGAAGAUGCGGACUACCUGCACCUGGACAGAAUGACCCUAUGAAGCUUUACUAUUCCCUAGGAUUGUCUUUGGGUUCUUCUUGCGCAGCUUAGGUGGAAGGCGAAGAAGGCUCCCUCUCGGGGGGGCCUGAGCCAUCAGUGAGAUACCACUCUAGAAG
rnacentral:ncRNA from 1 species